CAGACGGGCGCAGCGCGCAGGGUUUAUCCCUGUCAGAUGCUAAAGCGACAGCCAUAUUAAUGCAGAAUAAACAGCGGGCACGGCAUUGCGCACGGCCAACAACUUUCCCACCGCCGCCAGCCCCACCGAGCCCACCCGGGGGAAGGGGGCAAAUAAAAGCCGAGGGCGCCGCGCGUUUUGCCGUGCGACAUUAGGAGGCGGCAGAGAAAAAUCCCUGCCCAUGCGGGGGAGAAGAGGAGUUAGUCCCGGUGUAGUUGCUGCACCAGCCAUAUUACUCUCGGCGGCACGGGAGCCCGGCGCGGAGAAACGGGGCUGCACCGGGGACAGGGACACCGUCGGCAGAGCCGGUGACUCCUGCGCAUCACAGGGAGGGAACCGAGCCCCAGAUAAACUCCGCUGACGGUCCCAACACGCGAUGGAUGGAAAAGGAACUACGGAGCAAGAACCUGCGUGUUUGCUGGGGGGUGGGGGGGGGGGAUCAGAGAGUUUUACCCACUCAUUCAUGAAAUAAAGUGCCAAAACAAUUAA